GACCCGGGGCUGAUGCACAGGUUUCUGUGCUAUUCCGACAGAACUGAAUUGGAUUGUAGGUAAUUCCUGCCCGUGGGGAGCAGUCCAAGCAGUGCAGAGGCGCAGGGCAGCAAGUAAGAACCCCUACCAGUGCCUCCCGCUCUUUCCCCAGAGGCCACCGUCACAGCAGGAGCCCCCAUGACUGCUGGGUGGAUGGAUGGAUUGGAGGGCCUGGGGCUUUGGGCUGAGCCCAGUGAGGACAGAGCGUGAGGAUGGAAACAGAGUGCUGGCAGGGACAGUGAUGACAGCCAAGUCCCCUUGACUCAGCGCUGAGACGUCUCCUCAGUCAGCACCUGAACUUAAUACCUGUCACCGUCACCAAGAGGCUCCGAGAGGCUCAGCAGGCUGCCCACGUCACCAGCCGGUGCGCGGGGCCGGGGUGUGGGGCCGCGCUGGGUCCAGUCAGACCCAGAGCGGGGCUGGGGGAGCCGGGCGGGAUGGGCGAGGGUCCCACUGCACCAAGGACCCCAGCCCCUCACCGCCCCACCCCUAGUCUCUUUGCUUACCAGCCACCCCCUCCAGCGGCAUCGGGCAAGGCCGUCCCUUCCGAGGGAUGGGAAACCCAGGCUCAGAAGGGAAGAGUGUCACCUCGGCGUGACCCCAACACUCCUGGGGACCUGCCUGCCUGCCGGCAGAGCGCGCCCUCUGGGCUGUGGGGAGCUGCCCACCCUGCUCCCUUGAGCAGCCAAGCUGCAAAGGGGAAGGCCCCUCCCCGAGGCCACUUUCCCCUUGAGGAGCCCCAGGUGGAGGGUGGGGUAGGCCCCGGCAGGUCCUGGUUUCUCUCUGACUCUGGGCUGAGGUUUCCCGCGUCCUGGGCACCCCCCACCCCGUCCCUCGAGCUGCCCGCCUGCAGAGGAGCCAGUGUCUACCCCGCAUCUCAGCAAUCAGCUCUAAACGCAUUUCCUGUGAGGCCAUGAGGCAUGAGCCCAGUGGACCUGAGGCUGUGUUUGAUCCAGAAAGAAUAAAAAAGGAA